AAAUGAAUUGACGGGGGCCCGCACAAGCAGUGGAGUAUGUGGAUUAAUUCGAGGCAACGCGAAGAACCUUACCAGGGCUUGACAUCUCCUGAGGACUCAAGAGAUUGAGUUGUCCCUUCGGGGCAGGAAGACAGGUGGUGCAUGGUUGUCGUCAGCUCGUGUCGUGAGAUGUUCGGUUAAGUCCGGCAACGAGCGCAACCCCUGUGGCCAGUUGCCAUCAUUCAGUUGGGCACUCUGGCAAGACCGCCGUUAACAAAACGGAGGAAGGUGGGGAUGACGUCAAAUCAUCAUGCCCCUUAUGUCCUGGGCUUCACACGUACUACAAUGGCAGCAACAGAGGGCAGCCACACCGCGAGGUGGAGCGAAUCCCAAAAUGCUGUCUCAGUUCGGAUUGCAGGCUGAAACUCGCCUGCAUGAAGCAGGAAUUGCUAGUAAUGGCAGGUCAGCAUACUGCCGUGAAUACGUUCCCGGGCCUUGUACACACCGCCCGU
rnacentral:rRNA from 1 species